UACGUAGGGUGCAAGCGUUGUCCGGAUUCAUUGGGCGUAAAGAGCGUGUAGGCGGCCAGGUAGGUCGGUUGUGAAAACUGGAGGCUCAACCUUCAGAGGUCGACCGAAACCAUCUGGCUAGAGUCCGGGAGAGGAGAGUGGAAUUCCUGGUGUAGCGGUGAAAUGCGCAGAUAUCAGGAAGAACACCCGUGGCGAAAGCGGCUCUCUGGAACGGUACUGACGCUGAGACGCGAAAGCGUGGGGAUCGAACAGG
rnacentral:rRNA from 1 species